GAUGAACGCUGGCGGCGUGCCUAAUACAUGCAAGUAGAACGCUGAAGGAAGGAGCUUGCUCUUUCCGGAUGAGUUGCGAACGGGUGAGUAACGCGUAGGUAACCUGCCUGGUAGCGGGGGAUAACUAUUGGAAACGAUAGCUAAUACCGCAUAACAGUAGAUAUUGCAUGAUAUCUGCUUGAAAGGGGCAAUUGCUCCACUACCAGAUGGACCUGCGUUGUAUUAGCUAGUUGGUGAGGUAACGGCUCACCAAGGCGACGAUACAUAGCCGACCUGAGAGGGUGAUCGGCCACACUGGGACUGAGACACGGCCCAGACUCCUACGGGAGGCAGCAGUAGGGAAUCUUCGGCAAUGGACGGAAGUCUGACCGAGCAACGCCGCGUGAGUGAAGAAGGUUUUCGGAUCGUAAAGCUCUGUUGUAAGAGAAGAACGAGUGUGAGAGUGGAAAGUUCACACUGUGACGGUAUCUACCA
rnacentral:rRNA from 1 species